GACGAACGCUGGCGGCGUGCUUAACACAUGCCAGUCGAACGGAAAGGCCCUGCUUUUGUGGGGUGCUCGAGUGGCGAACGGGUGAGUAACACGUGAGUAACCUGCCCUUGACUUUGGGAUAACUUCAGGAAACUGGGGCUAAUACCGGAUAGGAGCUCCUGCUGCAUGGUGGGGGUUGGAAAGUUUCGGCGGUUGGGGAUGGACUCGCGGCUUAUCAGCUUGUUGGUGGGGUAGUGGCUUACCAAGGCUUUGACGGGUAGCCGGCCUGAGAGGGUGACCGGCCACAUUGGGACUGAGAUACGGCCCAGACUCCUCCGGGAGGCAGCAGUGGGGAAUAUUGCACAAUGGGCGGAAGCCUGAUGCAGCAACGCCGCGUGCGGGAUGACGGCAUUCGGGUUGUAAACCGCUUUCGCCUGUGACGAAGCGUGAGUGACGGUAAUGGGUAAAGAAGCACCGGCUAACUACGUG
rnacentral:rRNA from 1 species